rnacentral:rRNA from 1 species
GACAGAGGGUGCAAACGUUGUUCGGAAUUACUGGGCGUAAAGCGAGUGUAGGCGGUUUGGUAAGUCAGGUGUGAAAGCCCUGGGCUCAACCCAGGAAGUGCACUUGAAACUGCCAAGCUAGAGUAUCGGAGAGGUUGGUGGAAUUCUCGGUGUAGAGGUGAAAUUCGUAGAUAUCGAGAGGAACACCGGUGGCGAAGGCGGCCAACUGGACGAAUACUGACGCUGAGACUCGAAAGCGUGGGGAGCAAACAGG